GAUUGGUGCGAAUAACAUAUGAGAACAUGCAAGCCAGGAACAUCAUUGCUCCCAGGAUUCCUCUCCGUGGGAUCUUCUCUGUAACACACAUGUGUGACUCUGUGAACACCUGUUGCCAAUGAACUGACUAAGGUCUGAAUAAUACACGCGCAUUGUAGUGCGAGAUGCUACUGUCUUCCCUGCGACAACGCGGAGUCGAGAAUCUGACCUUUGAAUCAACGCGUAAUGCCUAAUAAUUUUAAAUGAAGAAUGAAUGACGUAUCUACCACGGUAAACGUCUCGUGUCCCAUUAAGUACAUAAUAUCCGCGAAAGUGCAGCCGCAGUUAUGUAUCGGACUUACGAGAUUUCUACAAGAAAUAUCUACUCCAGUAUUAUUAUGUAACUCUUCUUUAUCAUUAUCAAUACACAGUAGCGUAACGUGUAUUAUUGUUAGCACAUUGUCAAUGUGUGACAUAUUGCACAUCCACCAAAACCACAGGCUUGAUUAGAUAUGCGCUUAAGACGCUACUUAGUACCUUGAUAUUUGAAUUAAUUAAUUAAUUAAAGAUAAUCAAUCUUGAUAUUUAAAAAAAAUCCUGUUGAAGAAGCAUCAACAUGUAUCAUGAAUUCGAGAAGGUCAUAGUACACAACGUCUGCGUGUCUGGUUGCAAGCAAGUGUGCUUCACGUAUCAACGAUUAUACACGGCAGUUUCAUUCGGCUGCUGUUAAUUAUGAUUAUGACGAAAGAAAAUUGAAUCGAUAACACAUGAUUGGCGCUUUUAAUACUUCUGCAAUCUUUUCCAAUAUUGCGCGAUGUAACACUUCCGCCAGCGACUGUUAUUGAAAAAUUAUACUGAGAAAUUAGAAAAUUAUGAAAUUAUAAAAAUUGCAAUGAUAUUUGAAUACAUUAACGUCCUUUUAUGUAAAUAUUCUUGAAUUUCUUGAAUAUUCUUUAUAUAUAUACAUAUAAAGCGGAAAUCGUUCUGUCUGAUAAUGAAAUUAUAUAUACAUAUGUCAUUGGCUUUGGGCAUGCAUGUGUAAGGGUCAGAGAACAAUGUGCAUUUAAUGUAAGUAAAUAUAAGUAAAUUUAUCAUCGACAAAAAUAAUAUGGCAAUGCAUCAAUAAUCACUAAGAACACAAUUAUGUAUAUUAAAAUCUAAUGUUAAGAAAUGCUAAAAAAGGCGAUAUAAAACAUUAAAGUGAAGCAAUAUGUCAAAGUUCCCUGACUUGCAUAAUGCAACAUUUUUUUCAUAUCGCAAAUGAUAAUUACGCGCUGGUAGGUCAAAUGUCAAAUGUGCGAUAAUACUUGUACUAGGCUUCAUGGAAAGCAAUUUCAUUCAGAUAGAGAGAUGUUAUCACACUUACUACACAGAGCUUUAGGUAAUUUCGUCUGACAACGAGUCAUUCACCUCAUUAAUAAAUCAUACGUGAAUGUAUAGAGUAUCCGCAAUCUACGUCACAAUUGUACGUUUUAUUACUAACAAAUCUGUUGAAAGAAUCGGGAAUCUAAAUCUAAAUUGAAUCAAACUUCUUUAUAUGAAUUUAAUUAAUAAUUAUAUAUUUUGUUAGAAAAAUAUUUAAUUGCAAGGAGUAAAAAAUUGUGACAAAAUGGUAUUUUGUCAUAAAAUUGCUUCUUCGAGUAGCCCAUCUAAUCUCAAAUUUUUCACAUAUCACGGGAUUAAAAUCAAUGCUUCUGGCGCACCCUGUACAUAUCGACAAUUGACUUCGAUAAAUCGUGCGUUGUACAAAGUAUUGGUUCACGCUUUUUUUAAGAACGGAAAAUGUGCCAACGUUAAGUGACCGUGAACGAGCAACCUGACUGUUCCGUAAGUCUAUUUCUGCGAGGUAGACGGCGCGAAAUAGCAGCUCGAGUUACACGUAGUUUGUACGAAGUGGAGAUGUGCUUGGGUGAAAUUCAAUCGGAAAAAUACAGUACACCGUAUGCGUGCGAAGCGACGAGUACGCGGUGCGCGUACGUAAUGCGAUGCACGGUGUUUGCUAAUUUGAAUUUCCGUUUGAAGCGGAAUGAUGCGUCGCAAACUCGUACGUGCACGAUAUCGUGCGUUCAAUUGUAUAAGCGUGGUAUAUCUUUUUGCAUAAACAUGCGAAUGCGAAUUAUAUAAUCUUUAUCAUUUCCGAUGAUAUCUGCUAUCUAAAUAACGCGUCACUUUAGCUUAAUGAUAAUUAUGCAAAUAUUAAUAUUCAUAGAGAUUACGUCACACAUAAUUUUCCUAUGUAUUGCAGAAAAGACGUCGAAAGAAAAAUACAUUUUUCUAGCUGC